rnacentral:rRNA from 1 species
GUGACAGCCCCGUACACAAAAAUGCACAUGCUGUGAGCUCGAUGAGUAGGGCGGGACACGUGGUAUCCUGUCUGAAUAUGGGGGGACCAUCCUCCAAGGCUAAAUACUCCUGACUGACCGAUAGUGAACCAGUACCGUGAGGGAAAGGCGAAAAGAACCCCGGCGAGGGGAGUGAAAAAGAACCUGAAACCGUGUACGUACAAGCAGUGGGAGCACGCUUAGGCGUGUGACUGCGUACCUUUUGUAUAAUGGGUCAGCGACUUAUAUUCUGUAGCAAGGUUAACCGAAUAGGGGAGCCGAAGGGAAACCGAGUCUUAACUGGGCGUUAAGUUGCAGGGUAUAGACCCGAAACCCGGUGAUCUAGCCAUGGGCAGGUUGAAGGUUGGGUAACACUAACUGGAGGACCGAACCGACUAAUGUUGAAAAAUUAGCGGAUGACUUGUGGCUGGGGGUGAAAGGCCAAUCAAACCGGGAGAUAGCUGGUUCUCCCCGAAAGCUAUUUAGGUAGCGCCUCGUGAAUUCAUCUCCGGGGGUAGAGCACUGUUUCGGCAAGGGGGUCAUCCCGACUUACCAACCCGAUGCAAACUGCGAAUACCGGAGAAUGUUAUCACGGGAGACACACGGCGGGUGCUAACGUCCGUCGUGAAGAGGGAAACAACCCAGACCGCCAGCUAAGGUCCCAAAGUCAUGGUUAAGUGGGAAACGAUGUGGGAAGGCCCAGACAGCCAGGAUGUUGGCUUAGAAGCAGCCAUCAUUUAAAGAAAGCGUAAUAGCUCACUGGUCGAGUCGGCCUGCGCGGAAGAUGUAACGGGGCUAAACCAUGCAC